rnacentral:rRNA from 1 species
UACGUAGGGUGCGAGCGUUGUCCGGAAUUAUUGGGCGUAAAGAGCUUGUAGGCGGUUUGUCGCGUCUGCCGUGAAAUUUCGAGGCUCAACCUCGAACUUGCGGUGGGUACGGGCAGACUAGAGUGCGGUAGGGGAGAUUGGAAUUCCUGGUGUAGGCGGUGGAAUGCGCAGAUAUCAGGAGGAACACCGAUGGCGAAGGCAGAUCUCUGGGCCGUGAAC